AAUGAUGUCACAGAGUUCGUGAUGUUGGCGAAGAAGAUUCAAGCCCUGCAGAAGUUGUUCAGAAUGCAAAUGGAAUCUCACUCUGUCGCCCAGGCUGGGGUCCAGGGGCAUGAUCUUGGCUCACUGCAACCUCUGCCUCCUAGCUACAAAUGAUUCUCCUGCUUAGCCUCCCAAGUAGCUGGGAUUACAGGCACCUGCUAACAUGCCUGGCUAAUUUUUAUAUUUUUAGUAGAGACAAGGUUUCACCAUGUUGGCCAGGCUGGUUUCAAACUCCCAACCUCAAGUGAUCCACCUGCUUCGGCUUCUCAAAGUGCGGGGAUUACAGGCAUGGGCCACCACACCCGGCCUCAACUCUUGAUCAUUAAUUCAGAUCAUGCCCACUCAAUCUACUUGCCACUUUGUGCUUCUGGAAGAUGAAAAAGAAUAAAAAUAGCAGGGAAGAAAAGGGAUGAGAAAGAAAAGAAAGUGGAGAGACAAUAAAGACUAUGGUAGGCAGAAUAAUGGCUCCCCAAAUGACAUUCACAUCCCUAUCCCUGGAAUCUGUGAAUAUUACUUUAUAUGGCAAAAAGGGACUUUGGAAAGGAUUAACAAUUUUGAGAUGGGGACAAGAUCCUGGAUUAUCCAAGUGGGCCCAAAAUGCAAUCAACAUGUACCUUAUAAGAAGGCAGAAGGAGACGUGACACAGACAGAAGAGGAGGUCAUGUGACUAAAGAGGCAGAGACUAGAGUGCUGCAGCCACAAACCAAGGAAUGCUGGCAGUCACCAGAAGCUAGAAGAGCCAAGAACAGAUUCUCCCGUAGAGCUUAUGGAAGGAGCAUGGUCCUGCCACCUUAAUUUUAGCCCACUGACACAAAUUUCAGACUUCUGGCCUCCAAAA
rnacentral:lncRNA from 10 species